rnacentral:rRNA from 1 species
AUAUACAGGCAUAGCACCCUGAGAAUGGCUGGUCUGGGAAGCUAAGCAGGGUCGGACCCGGUCAGCACUUGGAUGGGAGACCAGCUGGGAAUAGCGGGUGCUGUAUGGU